rnacentral:lncRNA from 1 species
CCUAGCCUGGGAACCUCCAUCCGUGGCUAAAAAGGACAAAAAGACAAAAAAAAAAAAAAAAGAAAAAAAGAAUUACAAAUUAGGAACAUCUCACAAAAUAAUUGCUAACUUCAAAAGUGUCUAGGUCACAAAAGUUAAGGAAAGACUGAGGAAACAGAUUAGAGGAGGACAAUGAGCCAUGACAACUAAACACAAAGUGGAAUCCUGGAUUGGAGCCUGGAACAGAAAAUAGACAUUAUGGGGGAAUUUGAAAUUAGAGUAAAAUCUACAGUUUAGUUGAUAGUGUUGUUUCAUAUUAAUUUCUUAGUAUGAUGGUUACGUGAUGUAUAGCUUUAAAGGAUGUUGGGUGAAUGAUGUAUAGGAAAUCUCUGUACUUUGUCAUGACUUUUCUUUAAGCCUAAAAUUAUUUCAAAAUGAACAGUUAAAAAUCUGCUAUGAGGCGUUCCCAUUGUGGUUCAUCGGGUUAAGGACCCAACAUUGUCUCUGUGAGGAUAUGGGUUCGAUCCCUGGCCUCGAUCAGUGGGUUUCGGAUCUGGCAUUGCCACAGCUAUGGCAUAAGUCUGAUCUGGUGUUGCUGUGGCUGUGGGUUUAGGCUGGCAGAUGCAGCUCCAAUUCAUCCCCUAGGCCAGGAACUUCCGUGUGCCACAGGUACAGCCAUAAAAAGAAAAAAAAUUUUUUUAAUUAAAAAAAUCUGCUAUGAUAUUAGAUUCCAUUGGUUAUAUUGAAAGGGUGACAUGAUACUUUAAUUUAAAUGACAUUAUUUGCAGUUUCCAUCAUGGCUCAAUGGUAACAAACCCAACUUGUACCCAUGAGGGUGCGGCUUCAAUCCCUGGCCUUGCUCAGUGGGUUAAGGAUCUGGCACUACUGUGAGCUGUGAUGUAGGUCACAGACAUGACUCAGCUCCUGAGGUGCUGUGGCUGGGGCAUAGGCUGGCAGCCACAGCUCUGAUUCAACCCCUAGCCUGGAACAUUCAUAUGCUGCAAGUGCAGCCCUAAAAAAGCAAAAAAUAAAUAAAUAAAAUAAUGCCAUUAUUUAUAAUGUGAUGAAAACUGCAUUCUAAUUGUAAAAAUUUUAGAUGUCAAAUUAGAAAUGUAUGAAGGGGGUCACUUUUCUGUACAGCAGAAAUUGGCACAACAGUUUAAAAUCAACUAUAAUUUUUAAAAAUAAAAUGAAUGAAAUAUAAAAAAAAUUGUAAAUGUGUGAAGGGAUAUACACUUGUUUUCAAAAUUAUUUUAAGACAUUUGCAAGCAAAAACAUUUGAGGACCACUGCUCUAUGACAGCCUUUCUCUCCUGUCUCAAAUGAGAAGAAGGCAAAAACCCAGCUCUUCUUCAAUCUAACAGCCCACCCACUGGAGGAUUUGGAUGAAUCCGUCUUGUCAUCACCCACAUUUACUUCUAUUUGCUUUCUUGCCUCUACACUCUUCUUGUAUUUCACCUCCCAAGCACUUUUAAUCCUCUUACUCCUGCUUAUCCAGUUCAACCUCAUGGCUUAGUCUUCAUGGUAGACAGGGUA